rnacentral:rRNA from 1 species
UAAGUCUCAGUUCGGAUUGAAGGCUGAAAUUCGCCUCAUGAAGCCGGAAUUGCUAGUAAUGGCAGGUCAGCAUACUGCCGUGAAUACGUUCCCGGGCCUUGUACACACCGCCCGUCACACCAUGAGAGUUGGAGAUACCCGAAGCCUGUGAGCUAACAAACGAGGCAGCAGUCGAAGGUAGAAUCAAUGAUUGGGGUGAAGUCGUAACAAGGUAUC